AUCGUAGUUCUUAAAGGUAGGUAUACAAUAAUAAUGUUAUGCUUAUUAUUUGGGAUUAUGAUUUAACAACUCUUCGAUUAUUUAGUUUUAUGAAUAGAUAAAAAAAACAAUAUGUAUAUUAUGUAAAACCAAAAAUUGAUAUUUACAACGUUGAAACGCAAUAAUUAAUAUUAAUAAUAUCGUAAACGUGUACCUACGUACAUUAUAAUAAUACUCGCGGAAAAUUAAAUAUUAUAGUAAGUACAUGCAUCCACGUACAUGGAUAACCUACAACAAUAAGUAUGAGACGAACGGUUGAGAAACAAAAUAAAUACAUAAAUAUAAUUUUUUUUUUUUUUUUUUUCAAAUGUGUAAUGUGUAAUUUGUAAUGCUAAUAUUAUUAUACAACGGAUAACAGGCAAUAUUAAUAUUGCGAUAAUUGUAUACAAUACUAUUGAAUUAAUUGUAUAAUAUCAAGUGUACUUUCGCGGGUUUGAAAACCAGAACAAUGUCAAAGUAGAUUUCAUGCGAAACGGUAUUAUUGAAUUUCGCGACUUUGCGGGCGCGUCGUCUUUCGGAGAAUAUCAUCAUUGUAAUAAGAGAUCAGGAGGGACUCGGGGCAUUCGUCAUCUCUGCGUGAUUUUAUAAUUCGGUCGCUUUUACCUAACAGUUUCUGUUUUUUUUUUUUUUUUUUAUGCUUUCAAUACAAACCGAACUUUAUCGAAGUCGAUGUUAUUAAGUGUUAACGGGAAAUUUCGGUAUAAAUCGUAUUGGUAAACCGACGCGGAGCGUCUAUUAUACCGAGCUCUCCGCUAUGUUCUAUACAAUCUACGGUACUUCGCUAUAAAUUACGGUUCUGUUAGAGAUCGAAUUAUUGAUAGAAAAAAAAAAAAAAAAAUGUCAAUGUCCCGUCUUUAUCUACAUAACUCCGGGACGGCGAUUGUGACUGUGCAAUAGUAUGCAAUCGUUAAAACUACGGUAAAAACCGGGGCGAAUAUAAUACACACAUCAAUUUAUCGUCAGACCUUGUCUUCGUGGUUUUUUUUCGUCUCUGACGAACCGAAACGUACACACGCGGGGAGGGUCUACAAUUAUGUAUAUUGGCAAUAUCGUUAUAUUCGUGGUAACUGAGAUUGGUAUGUCAGCAAUACCCGAAACGACGAGAGGAUCGACGAUCACAUCGCCUAGCGGUUAUUCGUGAAAUAAACGGAUAGUCGAAUAUCAUAUUAUUGUUCUGCGCGGGUAUAUAAACCCGUAAACUUUAUUAACUGUGAUUACGGAUAAUAUUGGGUCAAAUACGGACGCCAUUUUGAUUGAAAUGAUGUGCGCGUCGCAACGUACGGUAGCUGAUAUCACCUAAAUUAUUUGCAUAGACAUAAUACAUAUGGACUGCGCUCGAUGUGUUAACAGCAGGGUCGUCAUUCAAAUCAUUUACCCCUGGACUGGUAGCUAAAAUCAACGGGCGGGGGGGGAAAAAUAAUCGUUUUUCGUUUUUCCGUGGUAAUAUUUCUUACUGUCAGUAUUUCGGACGUAAGGUGAAAAAUCACAUGAUCAACCAUGAUAAAUAUUAUUGAAAUUUGACAGUUAUAAAAGUGAUAAAAUAUUAUGUCCAUGAUAACUCCCGUGGAAAACGCAACCAUUUGUUUUUCUCCUCCGUGAUAAUUGACUACCAAUAUGAGAAUGAACAACACGAAUAAUGAUGAGCACCAGCUACAGGCAGUCCAUGUAAAUUGUGUCUAUGAUUAUUUGUGACGAUUUGACCGGCAUUCAAAUUGUUCGACUGUAGAUAGCGCCAAUAUCGUUUAUUGUAUGGGAGCUCCCUUAUAUUUGUUUGUGCUUUUUGUCGUUUGUUUUAUCGUUUUAUCGUUCGUCACCGGGAAAGUGUAGCACACGCUCUCACACAACGAACCGCCACCAGAGACCCUUUAAAUUUAGAAAUCGCACAAGAUAUCGAAUAAAUCGUGGUUGAUAUAAUUAAUAAUUAAUCGAAUACGAUAUUAUUUUUGCAUUAUAUUAUAAUGUGCUUAGAUUUACGUACGCCGUUAUUUCUAUACUAUAUGGUUAUCAAUUAUCAUCGUGUUAGUAUAAACAAUGUUGUAAGUUAAAUACUUCGCGACGCUUUGUAUUGUUAAAAUGUUUUAUAUAAUAUUUAAAGUACACGCAAUAACGAAAAG